rnacentral:tRNA from 1 species
UGGCUCAGUUGGUGGAGCAUGGUGCUUGCAAUGCCAAGGUUGUGGGUUAGAAGCCCAU